CCCUUAGAUGUUCUGGGCCGCACGCGCGCUACACUGACACACUCAACAAGCUUAUAACCUUGUCCGAGAGGUCUGGGAAAUCUUUGAAUAUGUGUCGUGAUGGGGAUAGAUCGUUGCAAUUCUCGAUCUUCAACGAGGAAUUCCUAGUAAACGCAGUUCAUCAGACUGCAUUGAUUACGUCCCUGCCCUUUGUACACACCGCCCGUCGCACCUACCGAUUGAAUGGUCCGGUGAAAUCUCGGGACGGCGGCUUGGUCGCUUGCGUCCGACUGCUGAAACUUGAUUAAACCAUAUCAUUUAGAGGAAGGUGAAGUCGUAACA
rnacentral:rRNA from 1 species